rnacentral:lncRNA from 1 species
ACAAAAUUGUGUUUUGGUGAAGGUGAUGUGUUUGUAGAUCUUUCUUUACUGAACAUUCUUGCUAGUUACAAUUUUCUCCAUCUAUAAUAAACUUGGCCCUUUAGUUACAGAGAAAAUAUUUUGUAAAAAUUUACAAAAAGAGGUAGGGCCAAUUUGUCCGGAUUUUUUUUCACAGGAGGGUCAAUUUCAAAAAGUGUCAACAGAGUAAAAUUUACUAUAAAAACAAAAAAUAAAAAUGCUUUU